GAUGAACGCUGGCGGCGUGCUUAAUACAUGCAAGUCGAACGGAACGUCCUUACUAUUGUGUGCUUCUCGUGUCCGAAACGGGUGAGUAUCACGUAAGUAACCUGCCCUUGACUUUGGGCUAACUUCAAGAGACUGGGAAUAAUACCGGAUAGGUGCUCAUGCCGCAUGGCGGUGGUUGCCACGUGGCGGCGGUAUGGGAUGGAGGGGCGGCUUAUCUGUUUGUUGGUGGGGUAGUGGCUUACCAAGGCUUUGACGGGUAGGCUGCCUGAGAGGUGGAACGGCGCCCUUGGGACUACGAUACGCAGCAAUAGGGAACGGGAGGCAGUAGGCGGGAAUAUGGUACAAUGGGGGGAAGCCGGAUGAGGAAACGCCGCGUGCGGGAUGACGGGCUGCGGGUUGAAAACGGCUUUCGCCUGUGACGAAGAGGGAGUGACGGUAAUGGGUAAAGAAGCACCGGCUAACUACGUG
rnacentral:rRNA from 1 species